CGCACGGGUGAGUAACGCGUAUCCAACCUGCCAUCCAUUUUGGUAUAGCCCUCCGAAAGGAGGAUUAAUCCCGAAUAAUGUACCGUGAUCCCAUGAACUCGGUAUGAAAGCUCCGGCGAUGGAUGAUGGGGAUGCGUUCCAUUAGGUAGUAGGCGGGGUAACGGCCCACCUAGCCGACGAUGGAUAGGGGUUCUGAGAGGAAGGUCCCCCACACUGGAACUGAGACACGGUCCAGACUCCUACGGGAGGCAGCAGUGAGGAAUAUUGGUCAAUGGUCGGAAGACUGAACCAGCCAAGUAGCGUGAAGGAUGAAGGUUCUAUGGAUUGUAAACUUCUUUUAUACGGGAAUAAAACCUCCCACGUGUGGGAGCUUGUAUGUACCGUAUGAAUAAGCAUCGGCUAACUCCGUG
rnacentral:rRNA from 1 species